GGAUUUAGAACUUUGAGCUACAGCGAAUGUGAGUUUAAGGUGAGUCUUUAUUUUGACUCAUAUAUUUUAAAUUAUAAUGGAAAUUAGUAUGUUGAUGCCAUUUCAUAUAAUUGAUGGUGUAAGUGUGUAUACGAAGUAUUGUAAAGAUUCUGCAUGUGCAAGAAUGAUAAGUGUGAAGUACUGCCUGAAUAAGAAGUUGAGUGGUAAGUAUGCAUGUAAAAUUUCGAUAUGGGAGAGUAUGAAUCAGUCAGGUAUGUGAACAAAUCUAGGUAAGUGAAUUCCGAGUAAAACAUCCAUUUUUUAUGCUUCUAGUAGAGCAGUUACAUUACUAACCAGACUGGCAGAUCAUGAUAUGAAAACAUGUGUAAGUCCAUAUGGUAGAGACCAAUGGCAUUAUAUGACAACGAAAAU
rnacentral:lncRNA from 1 species